UGGGUUGAGUCAUGCAUCACUUGCUUUCU
rnacentral:piRNA from 1 species